rnacentral:lncRNA from 1 species
UUUCACAUGUUUUAAUGACAUUAAAUAAAAGAAUAUUAAAGUGAGAAGAAGGAAAAAAUAAUGUUGCAUUGAAACUGAUUAAUGACAAUAAAUAUAUAAUUAACAAAUCCUUCUCUCCCUCCUUCCAAAUAAACUCGGUUGUCUCUCUCUCUCUUAUACCAAGCACGCAUUCUUUCUCUCUCUCUUGCCAAGCAUGAAAAAAACAAAAAAAAAUCUAGAUCCUCAUUAUUCAGAUCUCAAAUCGUCCAUGCAACAAAGAGAUAUAUCUCAACCAAACUCCAUCAAAUGAAACAUACCUCAGAAUCCAUGAACACGCACAAACAAGCAUAUGCAAAUCAAUACUCAUAUCCUAUUUUGAACCCUGACACCCCAUUUUCAAUACUUUGUCUGUGUUUACAAACUACAAAUGUGAGAGAACAUCAAACCAACGAGAGUAUUGAGAGAGAAAAAUAUAUCAAGCUAAAAAGAUGCUACCAAGAUGUAGGUUAAAGAGUUUCGGGGUCUCUAGGUACUUGCUGCUCUCUCUAUCUCCCUUUCUUCUCUAGGCUAUACUCCUUCUCCUUUUGUUAUCCUCUUUUCUGUAAUAUGUUUGUGAGUGCAAUUAGAAAUUUUGGUUUAUAGUUUUGUGAAGGUGGGGUGAAAUUUAUGCAGCAUUUUGUUAUGAUUUCCUUUUCUUUGUAUGUAAUGUGAAGCUCUAUUUAUAGAGUGAAGAGAGAGUCUUGAAAUCAUGUGAAGAAUUCCUUCACACGUGUGAGCAUUUGCAAUUUGGACAAGGAUUGAGAAAAUAUUGUUAAGGA